rnacentral:lncRNA from 1 species
CCAAUGACAUUCGGCACCAAGCUCACUCCAUUAUUGGAUAAGACAGCAGUUGAUAUUACGCUAUAUCGCCAGAUGAUCGGUUCUCUGAUGUAUCUUACUGCUAGCAGGCCUGAUAUAAUGUUCUCUGUUUGUUACUGUGCUAGAUUUCAGGCGAAUCCACGUGAACAUCAUAUGCUCGCAGUAAAGAACAUACUCCGUUAUCUCAAGCGAACUACCUCUUUAGGCCUAUGCUAUCCAUCCAACUCAGGCUUCUUCGUUCAAGACUACUNAAAGAACAUACUCCGUUAUCUCAAGCGAACUACCUCUUUAGGCCUAUGGUAUCCAUCCAACUCAGGCUUCUUCGUUCAAGACUACUCAGAUGCAGACCUUGGAGGUUGUGGACUAGACAGGAAAAGCACCACUGGAGGUUGUCAAUUUCUUGACGGGAAGUUGUUUAGUUGGCAAUCAAAGAAACAGACAUUUGUGUCUCUGUCUACCGCUGAGGCAGAAUACAUCGUAGCUGCCUCCUGUACUUCUCAAGUUAUUUGGAUCCAAAACCAACUCAGGGACUAUGGACUCAAUAUGAAAAAGAUCCCACUAUAUUGCGACUCUGAAAGUGCAAUUAGGAUCUGUCAUAACCCAGUGCAACACUCGAAGACCAAUCACAUAGCACUGAGGUAUCACUUCAUUAAGGAUCAUGUGGAAGAUGGGAACGUCGAAAUACACUUUGUUCGAACCACUGAUCAACUGGCUGACAUCUUCACCAAAGCUCUUCCUGAAGCAUCUUUUAACAAAAUACUACAAGGGCUAGGUAUGAUGGA